UACUUUCGCACGCUUUUCGAAAAUGAAAUUAGAGAUGACCGAUAGUUACUUCGCUGCGUUUGAAUUAAUCAUGAAAGCGAUAUCUUCAAAAUUACAUCUGAAUUGUCCUUAUAAAAUUGAAACAAGAGGCGCAGUGGUACGUUGAAUUCAUUACUUAUGAUUUGACUUAACGCAGAAGACUAACUAAACUAAGCCUGCUCGAUGAUGAGCAUGAUUCGAGUGCAGCCUGUCGAUGGUGUCGAAGGGUUAUUUCCUCGGGUUACUCACCCGGCCCGGGGAGGUCGCCACAGCCAGGCAUGACAGGCCACACUGUCACUAGUCGAACUCGGAAGUGUCCGUGUUCGAUGUUCGAGGCUUCUCUUCGGGUAGACAGGAAUAACCGUCGUUAUCUGGGGAUUUAUUUUAAAAUUUCUGACAUUUUGCUAUCAUCACCAUUUACAGAGUACGUACUUAGUGCGAGCCCGCAUAGUCCAGAUCCAGCUGGGUGAUCGGUGACCAGAUUUCACAAAAUGAAAUACGGGACAAUGCACGAGCGGAUCGACCAACCCAGCUGUUACCAUGGCAAUCAAAGUGAGAAAAAUGAUGGCAAGUUUGUGGCAAAGGAAGAGGAAGAAAGACAUACGUCAAAAGGAUAACCUGACAUCAAAGAAGUUUUAUUCCAGCUUCAGAAAAUUGCUAGUGAGCCAAGAGACAUAUCGUUUCACUUCCACCAAAAUGCUAUGGGUAUCGAUGCUGAAGAGGAUACUGCCACAAGCUAGUGGGAUACUUUCUAAAAGCUAUGUAUAACAAGGAUCAAUACCAAAGAUAAAGGAACAGGAUCAGUACCAAGGACCAGGAACAAGGAUCAGGGAUUGGACUCAGGACCAGAACCAAGGAUCAAUACUAUGGACUCAGGACCAAGACCAUGGAUCGGGACUAGAGAUCAAGACAGGACCAAGGAUCAGAACCGAGGACCAAGACUCAAGACAAGGACCAGGACCAAGAAUCAAAGCCAAGUACCUUAGAAUUCAGAGUGCAAAGAUCAAGACCAAGGACCAGGACCAAGGACAGGACUAGGGAACAGGAACAAGGAUUGGGUUCAGGACCAGGAUCAAGACCAGAAGACCAGGACAGGGAUCAAGGACCAGGGCCAAGAACAAGGAUCAAGGACCAGAACCAAGUCAUGCAUCGUGACCAAGUACCACAGAAUGCAGAUGAUCAGGACCAAGGACCAGGACUGUGGAGCUGGACCAAGGAGCAGGACCGAGGAGCAGGACCAAGGAGCAGGGCCAAGGAUCAGGACCAAGGAUCAAGACCGAGGAGCAGGACCAAGGACCAGGACCAAGCACCAGGACCAAGGAGCUGGACAGAGGAUCAGCACCGUAGAUCAGGACCAGGAACAGAGAAUCAGGAUCAAAGAUAAGCUGAAGGACCAAGGAUAGAUCAUCAGGACCAAAGACCAAGGAUAAGGACCAAGUACCAUGGAAUGCAAAAGACCGACCUCAGUGGGACCAAACCACUUCAAGAAGUGCAGGGUUGGAUUCAGUAGCCCCUCUGCCACAUGGAAGAUGCCC